rnacentral:rRNA from 1 species
AUUGAACGCUGGCGGCAGGCCUAACACAUGCAAGUCGAGCGAGCGGCGGACGGGUGAGUAAUGUAUGGGGAUCUGCCCGAUAGAGGGGGAUAACUACUGGAAACGGUAGCUAAUACCGCAUACUAUCAGAUGAACCCAUAUGGGAUUAGCUAGUUGGUGGGGUAAAGGCGCACCAAGGCGACGAUCUAUAGCUGGUCUGAGAGGAUGACCAGCCACACUGGAACGGAGACACGGUCCAGACUGCUACGGGAGGCAGCAGGGGGGAAUAUUGCGCAAUGGGCGCAAGCCGGAUGCAGCCAUGCCGCGUGUAUGAAUAAGGCCUUAGGGUUGUAAAGUACUUGCAGCGGGGAGGCGUUACCCGCAGAAGAAGCACCGGCUAACUCCGUGCCAGCAGCCGCGGUAAUUC